rnacentral:tRNA from 1 species
UCCCUGGUGGUCCAGUGGUUAAGACUCUGAGUUUCCACUGCAGGGGGGCUCAAGUUCAAUCCCUGGUCAGGGAA